UUAGUUUAGUUUAGUUCGUGUUCAACUUUCGAACUGUGCGGGGUUGAUUCAGUUUUAGAGCAAAAAUUGCGAACUCCAUGCUCACCAAAGCAAUCGCUUCAGGUUGCUGCUCUAUCGGUUUAGAGCUCGCUCACGCGAACUAUAAACGAAUGUGUCGCGCGUGUUACUGUUAUGAGCAAUCCAGUGCUAGACUAGUUUGAAAAUCACAGACAAAUUGAGCAAAAACCACUUGAACUGACACUAAGACUGUAUCCGGGCGGUAGAACUGUGUCAACUUAGUCAUUUAUCACAUACUUUUGACAGCUAAACCGGUUGCGCGGGUGGCAGCAGUGAAUCGGACCAAACACGUGCCAAGAGCGGUUAGCAACAGGUGGUGACUUGUUUAGGACCAAGUUCAAGGUGACGUUAUGCAUCGAUUGCCACCCCAUUUUGAGGUUAAGGUUUGAUGCCAUUGAGCUAGGGGUGGAUUCCUGCAAGACGUCACGCUGCUAUACUGAAACUUGACCCACUGAGCCAGCAGAAAAAAACAACACCGUGAUAAUUUCCAAGGUGAAAGCAACGAUGAAAAUGCAUGUCUGUAACUUUUUCAUAAUUAUGUUCAAUAAUCCCCUAACUAAAAAUUCAAGCGGAUUUCAUCCGAGUAAAACACGUAAAUACGUGUAUAUUAACAUUUACAUAGAACUAGUUGCCAUGUCGAAGCAUACGAAGAAGCGAAGAAAAGAAGAUCGAGAAAGAUUCAAGACCCAGCACCGGAAAGCCAAGAAAAUGAAAAUACAGCUUCCGUUUCAUAUAUUAAGAAAUAAAAGGUAGUUACCGUCUAA